GACGAACGCUGGCGGCGUGCUUAACACAUGCAAGUCGAACGGAAAGGCCCUGCUUUUGUGGGGUGCUCGAGUGGCGAACGGGUGAGUAACACGUGAGUAACCUGCCCUUGACUUUGGGAUAACUUCAGGAAACUGGGGCUAAUACCGGAUAGGAGCUCCUGCUGCAUGGUGGGGGUUGGAAAGUUUCGGCGGUUGGGGAUGGACUCGCGGCUUAUCAGCUUGUUGGUGGGGUAGUGGCUUACCAAGGCUUUGACGGGUAGCCGGCCUUAGAGGGUGACCGGCCACAUUGGGACUGAGAUACGGCCCAGACUCCUACGGGAGGCAGCAGUGGGGAAUAUUGCACAAUGGGCGGAAGCCUGAUGCAGCAACUCCGCGUGCGGGAUGACGGCCUUCGGGUUGUAAACCGCUUUCGCCUGUGACGAAGCGUGAGUGACGGUAAUGGGUAAAGAAGCACCGGCUAACUACGUG
rnacentral:rRNA from 1 species